rnacentral:tRNA from 1 species
ACCUGGCUGGCUCAGUUGGUAGAGCAUGCAACUCUUAAUCUCUGGGUUGUGAGUUCAAGCCCCAUGUCGGGUG